rnacentral:rRNA from 1 species
UACGUAGGGUGCGAGCGUUGUCCGGAAUUAUUGGGCGUAAAGAGCUCGUAGGCGGUUUGUCGCGUCGACUGUGAAAACCCGAGGCUUAACCUCGGGCCUGCAGUCGAUACGGGCAGACUAGAGUUCGGUAGGGGAGACUGGAAUUCCAGGUGUAGCGGUGAAAUGCGUAGAUAUCUGGAGGAACACCGGUGGCGAAGGCGGCAUCCUGGACCGAAAUUGACGCUGAGGCGCGAAAGCCAGGGGAGCAAACGGG